GAUCCUGGCUCAGGAUGAACGCUAGCUACAGGCUUAACACAUGCAAGUCGAGGGGAAACGACAUCGAAAGCUUGCUUUUGAUGGGCGUCGACCGGCGCACGGGUGAGUAACGCGUAUCCAACCUGCCCAUCUUUACUGGGAAUAACCUUGCGAAAGUAAGACUAAUGCCCAAUGAUAUCCCACGAAGGCAUCCGAAUGGGAUUAAAGAUUUAUCGGUGAUGGAUGGGGAUGCGU
rnacentral:rRNA from 1 species